AACGAACGCUGGCGGCGUGCCUAACACAUGCAAGUCGAACGCGAAAGGGGGCAACCCCCGGUAGCGUGGCAGACGGGUGAGUAACACGUGGGUAACCUACCCGGAGGUGGGGGAUAACCCUUCGAAAGGAGGGCUAAUACCGCAUGACAUCGCGGGGACUUCGGUCCUUGCGAUCAAAGCUGGCCUCUGUUUACAAGCUAGCGCCACCGGAUGGGCCCGCGCCCCAUUAGCUAGUUGGUAAGGUAACGGCUCACCAAGGCGACGAUGGGUAGCCGGCCUGAGAGGGCGAUCGGCCACACUGGAACUGCGACACGGUCCAGACUCCUACGGGAGGCAGCAGUGAGGAAUAUUGCGCAAUGGGCGAAAGCCUGACGCAGCGACGCCGCGUGGAGGAUGAAGGUCUUCGGAUUGUAAACUCCUGUCGAGUGGGACGAAUGCCGUGAGGGUGAAUACCCCUCGCGGUUGACGGUACCGCUGGAGGAAGCCCCGGCUAACUCCGUGCCAGCAGCCGCGGUAACAC
rnacentral:rRNA from 1 species